rnacentral:rRNA from 1 species
UACGGAGGGUGCAAGCAUUAAUCGGAUUUAUUGGGCGUAAAGGGCGCGUAGGCGGGGAGACAAGUCAGAUGUGAAAUCCCGAGGCUCAACCUCGGAACAGCAUUUGAAACUAUCUUUCUUGAGGGUAGGAGGAGAAAACGGAAUUCCACAAGUAGCGGUGAAAUGCGUAGAUAUGUGGAAGAACACCGGUGGCGAAGGCGGUUUUCUAUCUUAUUCCUGACGCUGAGGCGCGAAAGCAAGGGGAUCAAACAGGAUUAGAAACCCGAGUAGU